rnacentral:tRNA from 1 species
UUGAGUAUUCGCCAAAUUGGUAAGGCAGAGGACUCUGAAUCCUUAAUUUACUGGUUCGAAUCCAGUAUACUCAAU